rnacentral:rRNA from 1 species
GACGAACGCUGGCGGCGUGCUUAACACAUGCAAGUCGAACGGAAAGGCCCUGCUUGCAGGGUGCUCGAGUGGCGAACGGGUGAGUAACACGUGGGUGAUCUGCCCCUUACUUUGGGAUAAGCCUGGGAAACUGGGUCUAAUACUGGAUAGGACCAUGCUGUAGGUGGUGUGGUGGAAAGAUUAGUUUCGGUAAGGGAUGAGCUCGCGGCCUAUCAGCUUGUUGGUGGGGUAAUGGCCUACCAAGGCGUCGACGGGUGGCCGGCCUGAGAGGGUGGACGGCCCCAUUGGGACUGAGAUACGGCCCAGACUCCUACGGGAGGCAGCAGUGGGGAAUAUUGCACAAUGGGCGCAAGCCUGAUGCAGCGACGCCGCGUGGGGGAUGACGGCCUUCGGGUUGUAAACUCCUUUCAGCCAUGACGAAGCCCGUGUGGUGACGGUAGUGGUAGAAGAAGCACCGGCUAACUACGUG